GCUCUAUUAGCUCAGUUGGUUAGAGCGCCGUGCUUAUAGCGUUAAACCGUCUAUGAAAUAGUCACGCGGAUGUCGCCAGUUCGAUCCUGGCAUAGAGCA